CCUAAAUCCUUAUCUCAGAACCAGGAAUCAUUGACGAUCGCUAUGAAAUUAUGCCUAUCGUUUGUAAACGGAUUAAUGAAGUGAGAAAAGUAACUUUUAAAAAUUAUUCACGACGUUUCUGAGAGGUGAGAUGCGGUAGAAAGUCGAAAAGUGGACUUUUACCCCCUUUUUUGACUUAAAUCCUUAUCUCAGAACCAGGAAUCAUUGACGAUCGCUAUGAAAUUAUGCCUAUCGUUUGUAAACGGAUUAAUGAAGUAAGAAAAGUAACUUAUAAAAAUUAUUCACGACGUUUCUGAGAGGUGAGAUGCGGUAGAGAGUCGAAAAGUGGACUUUUACCCCCUUUUUUGACCUAAAUCCUUAUCUCAGAACCAGGAAUCAUUGACGAUCGCUAUGAAAUUAUGCCUUUCGUUUGUAAACGGAUUAAUGAAGUAAGAAAAGUAACUUAUAAAAAUUAUUCACGACGUUUCUGAGAGGUGAGAUGCGGUAGAGAGUCGAAAAGUGGACUUUUACCCCCUUUUUUGACCUAAAUCCUUAUCUCAGAACCAGGAAUCAUUGACGAUCGCUAUGAAAUUAUGCCUAUCGUUUGUAAACGGAUUAAUGAAGUGAGAAAAGUAACUUUUAAAAAUUAUUCACGACGUUUCUGAGAGGUGAGAUGCGGUAGAGAGUCGAAAAGUGGACUUUUACCCCCUUUUUUGACCUAAAUCCUUAUCUCAGAACCAGGAAUCAUUGACGAUCGCUAUGAAAUUAUGCCUAUCGUUUGUAAACGGAUUAAUGAAGUAAGAAAAGUAACUU